CCGCCCGCCCAGCGGGAGGUGCUCAGGGUCCAGCCCUGCAGCUUCCAGCAGCUCCACAGGGAGCAGCAGCCCCCAGCCUUCAACCCACGAGGCAGGAAAAGAGUUGUAGCCUUGUUUUUCCAAAACGUAAUGAAAAGUGACGUUUGAAGUAUUUUUCCACAAGGCUCUGUCAUUCUCAGCCAGAAAUUGUCAAGCCUAUUAGGAAGAGGAACCUAGAAGGCCAAAAAAUUCUCUGCCUGUUUUUUUUCCUGCAUGCUUCCUGUGAUGUUUGAUCCAAGGCAGCAAUAGAGAUCUGUGUCCCAGAGCCACAUUGUGGAGCCUGACCAAUAUGUUUGGAUUCUUGCAGCCCCCCCAGGCACUUUAGCGUCCAGCACUCCAGCUGGCAGUGCUGGUUGUGCAGCAUUGACAGUGUCCAGCUCCACACAGAACACACCUGGGGAAGAGCAGUCACCAGUGGAUCUUGGCUUUGCCAUUGAGCAAAUGAUCCGGGAGAUCCCUGCCUGAAAGGUCUCCCUCUGCACAGGGCAAUAUUAAUGUUGUGCCUGAGUCUUCUGGAGGCGAGCCUGUGAACCAGGCUGCAGCAGAGGAAGCCUCAUCUGGCACUGAGAAGAACAGUUUGCCAGAGCCUGAGGAGCUUGAUCCUGUGUGAUCGACCUCUGCAGGAGGGCUGCCCUGUGUGGCAGGAAGAGACAGAGGGAGAGGCUGUGACCAUCGGGCAGGUAGAAUUCCUCUGUCUCUAGUUAUAUUUAUAGAUGCGCAUAGUUAUGUUUAUUUAUCUAGGUAGUUGUAUUUAUAGAUUUAUGUAAUUAUAUUUAUCUAUAUAGGUAGAGAUCUGUACAGUUAAUUUUUUUUUUGUUUUAGAUGUAUAUCGUUAUAGCUUUAGAUGUGUUGGUGUAGUUAUAGAUGUGCACAGUUGCACUUAUACCUGUGUAUAGUUACAUUUAUAUAUAUACAUUUGUAAAUGCAUAUUUAUAUUUGUAUAUGGGGGUUUAGCUAAAUAGAUUGAUAUCUGUAGACGCCUCUUUUUAACCUCUUGCCCUGCUCUGCUUCCUCCCUCACUCGUGCUUUUCCCCCUGUGCCCCCUCUGUCCCCUCUCCCUGGGCUGGGUCCAAGCUGGCGGCCGGGCCGGGCGCAGCAGCAGCUCCAGCCCCGGGUGUCCCUGGAGCGCUGGGAGCUGCCGGUGGCCCCAGGCACUGUCCCCUGAGGAGCUGCUGAAGGACGCUGUAAGGAAGACUACGAGGACAGCCGGAGACUGCCAGGAGCCAGCAGGGAGAAGCUGAGUGCCAGCAGCAGGAGCAGUGAGCAGGGCCCUGCUGCUGCCAGCCUGGAGAGAGCCCGGAUGUCCCAUCUGCUGUCCCUGUCCAGGAGAUGUGCCGAACUUCAUCUGCAGGAUCAGAAGAACCAGUGUCCUUUGGCCUCCCCCAGUUCCCACUGAGGACGAGAGCACCUGCAGAGCAGAGGAGACCAGCUGCAGCUCCAGGCCCAGGUCUUGCUGGUCACAGCUGAGCCUGUGUGAAAAGGUUUCUUAAGUUAUAGGUUAAAAUUCAACACAUAAUUCUACAAGCUAAAAUUUAAAUGCUGAAUUCAUAUUGCUAACUCAAGGGAGCUCCAAAAAUCUCUAUUUCAAAAGCAACAAACCUUUGAAAGGUUAAACCUCAACAGAGCUGUGAUCCUCCAUCAAUACCUCCUUCUUCCACUUGCUUAAAAUCUCUUUGUUCUGGGCACUCACUAAGGCCUUUUUCCUGGAAGCUCUCUGGCUGUCUUGAAUGCUUAUGGAGUAACAGGUAACCCCUGAUCUAUUUUCAACUCUCUGCCCAGAGACUUCUGGAAGGGAGGUAGGACUGGUACUGGGGACCUGGCAGCUUGUCCAGGAAUCAAAAUUAUUGAAAUAAUGGUAAUGUGGACAAGGCAUGCAAGUCCAGGUGGUGAGCUCAAAUAUGCAAGUACUUGCAGUUUCCCCUCAGCACUUGACAGCUAAGGGGUAUGGUCUCUUCUUAUUUCUGUCUCUUAAUCCUCAAUCCUUGCCACACUCCUUCAACAUCUUUUGCAUUGUCAUCUUCCCUGUUUUCUCCCUCCCUUCUUCUUUCUGUGACUUUCUGUACACGACAGACUAUCUGUCACACUCUGUCAGCUUGCUCAGUCACCCGAGCAGUGAUAAUGAUGGUGUAGAAAUUGUAGGUGCACAGGAGGCAAAGGUGUCAUGCUUCUGUGUGCCCUCUGCAGGCAAAGCUGCUUCCCGAAGCUUCAGUCAAACUUGGAACAAAGGCUUGUCCCCACUGCAGGGACAAGAGAGGUAGGAAACUGGGCUCAUAAAACAUGCUUCUUCUGCUUCAACAAAAAACCGUGACUUCCCUUCACAGAGAAGGAUGUAAACUUUUUCUUGAAGGGAAUAAACAAAUCUCUUUAUGUCCUGAUCUUUUACCAGUCUGAAAUUAUUUAAAAAUGUCGUAAAUUUUGUUUGUUUGUUUGUUUCUUUGUGGUGUUUUUUUUUGUUUGUUUUGGGGGUUUUUUGGGUUUGUUUUUUUUUUGUUUGUUUGUUUGUUUUGUUUUGUCUUGUUUUGGUUUUUUUGGGGGUUUUUUUGGUUGUUUUUGGUUUUUUGGGUUUUUUUUUUUUUGUUGUUGUUGUUCUGGGGUUGGGUCUGCAUUUCAAGCCUGUUCUCCCAGCAGUCAGGGACCUGCACAGCUGCUGUGGGUGGGGCAGGUGCUCAGGUAAUUACCAACAGGUAAUUACUAACAGCCAGGUGAGAAGUUGGCUUGUGCCUGGUUGAGGGCUUGAGGACUGUGCUGAGAGAAGGGCUAGGGAGUGGAGUGGAAAAUACAAUUUACACAAGCAGAACCUGCUGUCCCCUGCGCUCGGAACAGGCGUGGAGGGUCCCCAAGGCAUCCUCAGAAUGGGCUUUGCCCUCACCUUGGCUUGUGCUGCUGCAGAUUUUGGAGACAAUUGUGCAUAAGAACGGGCACUAGAACCAGACUUGGGGCUGGCAUGCUCUGCAUUUCCAGAAUGGCUCAUGGACAGGAGAUCUGGAUCUUCCCCGGCUCAUGACAAGGUGAGGCCAUGAUCUGCCAGCAGUCCUGAGAGCUGCUUCAGCUGACAGCUUAGAGCAGCCCAUGUGCACUCCUCUGCAACCCUCCACAACAAGGUCAUUUGGGGUGGAGGUUGUCCUCUACCCUUUCCAUCCCUUAAGGCAAAGAUUUUAAAUUAACAAGUAAAUCAGAAAACAGGCUUAUUCUUGUCAUAAAGAAAUUCCAUUUGCUACAAUAUUUUCUUAAUAUGUGCACAAUUUUAUAAUAAAGGUACUGGGCUUCCA